rnacentral:rRNA from 1 species
UACAGAGGGUGCGAGCGUUGUCCGGAAUCACUGGGCGUAAAGGGUGCGUAGGUGGCUCGGUAAGCGUGUGGUGAAAGCCUGGGGCUCAACCCCAGGUCUGCCAUGCGAACUGUCGAGCUCGAGCAGAGUAGAGGCGGGUGGAAUUCCGGGUGUAGCGGUGGAAUGCGUAGAUAUCCGGAAGAACACCGGUGGCGAAGGCGGCCCGCUGGGCUCUUGCUGACACUGAUGCACGACAGCGUGGGGAGCAAACAGG